rnacentral:tRNA from 1 species
AUUUAAAUAGCUUAAUUGAAAGCGUUACGUUGAAGCCGUAGAGAUGAUGAAGCAUCUUUAAGUA